UACGUAGGGUGCAAGCGUUGUCCGGAUUUAUUGGGCGUAAAGAGCGUGUAGGCGGUUUGGUAGGUCCGCUGUGAAAACUCGAGGCUCAACCUCGAGACGCCGGUGGAAACCAUCAGACUAGAGUCCGGAAGAGGAGAGUGGAAUUCCUGGUGUAGCGGUGAAAUGCGCAGAUAUCAGGAAGAACACCCGUGGCUAAGGCGGCUCUCUAGUACGGUACUGACGCUGAGACGCGAAAGCGUGGGGAGCGAACAGGG
rnacentral:rRNA from 1 species